GCUUCCCUGGCUCAGUUGGUUAGAGCGCCAGUCUCAUAUAAUGAGUGCUCAAGGAGCAUCUAAUCUGGAGGUCAUGAGUUCGACCGUCAUGGGGAGCA